rnacentral:tRNA from 1 species
CCGCCGGUUGACUGCGGGUAGGCCGUUCUAGACGAACGGUCAUCGGGGGUUCGAUUCCCCCCCGGGCGA